UGUAAUGAUUAUUAUGGUCACCAUGUUAAUCAUUACAGUUUAUGAAUGAGAAUGUGUUUGUCGUGUUGUCACCUGACCUCUGUGAGAAUUUCUUUUUUAAUGUUUUGAAAAAUGUCUCACAUAAAGUCUCUUACACUUUACUGUUAAUGUUUACAAUCACAGUAGCUCCAUCAGGACCUGACAGCUCUUCAUCUCCUCUGUGGUUGGUUGUUGGACUGGUUUGUGGAGUCUCUCUUCUUAUUAUCCUCCUGCUUUUAAUGUUUCACUAUGCAAAGGCAAAGGAUGUAUGCUUUACUGGGCCGAUCCAGUCGGACAUCAACAGUCAAGACUCCACCAGAAAUCAUGGAGUCAAUCAGGAUGAAACCCAUGAAUACAAAUCUCUUCAGCAUGGUGAAUAUGAACUCUAUGAAACAGUCCAUCCCUCAGAAGACACUGCUGACGGUCCAAAUGGUGAUCAUCACAUCUAUGAAACAAUCCAUGACGUGAGUGAGACUACAAAUGAGGCAGAUGAAGCUCACGAAGCCACAUACUCUCUUAUUGAUCUUAAAAACUAUCUAAAGGACAGUCAGUGAAUAGAGCUACAGCAGCAAAGCCAAAAGAAUCAUAAUAUAAGAAUCAUAAUAUAAUCGCACUAUAAUGAUCAUUACAUAUGCAUGCAUGUUCCCUACAUGUUUGUAUGUUCCCUAUAGUCAGCCCAUCUUGAUGAAUCUUUGCCUAAGCAUUGUUUAGGGCACUGUGAGUGCAUAUUUGACAGUUUAAUUGAGCACCAAAUGAAAUCUCCAAAAGUGGAUUCUGUUCAUCUGGACGUAGUGUUUUGUGGGAGAAACGUUUCGUCACUCAUCCAAGUGACUUCUUCAGUCUCACCACCAAAUGAAAUGUGAUAAUAGAGAAUAGAUUAUCAGAUUAGAGUGAUGUGUCUUAUUUAAUAUAUUUUACCAUCAUACUUUAUCUGUUCUAAAUCACAAUACAGCUUUAAAUUAAGGUUUUGCUGUGCUACAUGAGGGCACUAAUACAUAUUUUUUUUACAGUAUAAUGUAUUAUACAUUAUGUUAAAAUAAAUAAAUGGUGUGACUGAUGCUGUACGGAGGUAAAUGGAGUUUAUUUCCAAUCUGUCAGUAGUAUUUUUGUUGCAUCAUGCUCCUGUAUAUCAUAUCUGUAAACUAUAACUGUGAAACCCAAUAACACUGAG